rnacentral:rRNA from 1 species
CCUACGGGAGGCAGCAGUGGGGAAUAUUGGACAAUGGGCGCAAGCCUGAUCCAGCCAUGCCGCGUGAGUGAUGAAGGCCUUAGGGUUGUAAAGCUCUUUCACCGGUGAAGCGGUAACCGGAGAAGAAGCCCCGGCUAACUUCGUGCCAGCAGCCGCGGUAAUACGAAGGGGGCUAGCGUUGUUCGGAAUUACUGGGCGUAAAGCGCACGUAGGCGGAUUGGUCAGUUAGGGGUGAAAUCCCGGAGCUCAACUCCGGAACUGCCUUUAAUACUGCCAGUCUAGAGACCGAGAGAGGUAAGUGGAACUCCUAGUGUAGAGGUGGAAUUCGUAGAUAUUAGGAAGAACACCAGUGGCGAAGGCGGCUUACUGGCUGGACUGACGCUGAGGUGCGAAAGCGUGGGGAGCAAACAGGAUUAGAUACCCUUGUAGUC